CAACCCAUCCACAUCCAGCCCAGCCGCCCACCGUUCGGCGGCUACCUCGCCGCACUCCAACGCCCAGCACGCCGCCCUUUCAGCAAUCAAGGCGGCCGCCAUCUGCAACCCCCUCCCACCACACCUCAAUCCCCAUAUCGAUCUACCGGUUCCUCGUCCUGCCUCAGCACCGCUUCCUCGAUCUGCCUUGGCACCGUUUGGAUCCUUGCAGCGACGAAUUCAUCGUUCUUCAGCUCCAGCACCUACAUCCUGAAGGUGUACGAUCUCAAGGCUGGUAUGGAUCUAAAGGCCCACCGCUUCCCUGAUCGGACUGCUAUAAAUUCUCUCACAUGCAUGCUAGGUGAAACAGCACUGUACCGAUGCAGGGCGGAGACAAAGAGAGAUGUGCAAGGGGUCAACUCCUGCCAUUCACCCUCAUCAAUUCGUAGCACAUCAUGUACUGUAGAUGGCUGAUGGCCGCAUCUAAUUGUAUGAAUAGACCAUGCAUACACAAAUUAUUAAACCAUCACUGAUGUAGAAAGCCCAUAAACCAUGUACGGUUGUGUGUCAGUUUUCGAUGUGCCAAUACAUAAUCCAUCAACCACGUUGAUCCAUUGUAGAUGCGCAUACGCCUAAUGUAGCAAUAUCAUGGCAAACAUCCAUACUAAUAUUGUUUGUUGGCACACUAGCCACCUUGGUUGCUGCUUCUUGAAUUACUUAUUGGGAUGGCACAUGAGGCAAAAUGGUUCUGCUCUGCCAUCACCUAGUUCUUAACAGAAUCUUAGUCGUCACUUGAAUAAUGCUCAGUUUGCAUAAUCUGUAUAUUUUUCAAGUUAAACUUCUCCUGAAUCCAUAUGUCGACAAUGUUAUAUCUGAGUGUGAGUGUGUCUGGACCCAUGGUAUUGUACGCCCUCUCUUUUUUGAGUUAUGAUAAGCAUAUAGUGCAUUGACAUUUUUAUAUAUCUAGGAUGGCGAAGGACAUGUUAACCAUAUACCUGCACUAUGAAGAUGUGAAUCAGGAAACCAAAACUUUACAACGAUCCAUGAUGAGGCGUGAUGUCUCGUAUUAUGAUUUAAUCUUGAUGAUCGAGGAAGUUAGCUUUCACGCAAUUGACUUUCUGUACUAUGCAAAAAAAACUCGUCUAGGCAGCCCAUACUUUGUUCAUAUUUAUGAUCAACGUCAUGUGAUGAAAAUGUUGUCCGACCCUGAGAUUGUGAAGGUUGUCCAUCUGUACGUAUCUAAUAAGAAGGCUGGACAUGAUAUUGCUCCGCCUAGCAACCAAUUUGAUAUUUCUCCAUCUAACCAUCCGAAUGAGAGUGUUGUCUUCCAGGACAAUGGUGUCUCUGCUGAAAGGGCAGGGAAACUUGGCAUGGAAAGGAAGCGAAGUAUCCCUCUUGAGCCAUGCUUAUUACAUAUAUAUAUAUAUUGUUGUCAUUAUUGGAAUUAGAAAUGUAUGAUUGUUCUGCACGACGAUUGCGUAGGUCAAAAAGGUUGAAUGUGAUUCAGGUUACUGACCAACAUGAUGAUGAAGAUGGAGAGUGCAACAAUGGUGAGCAAUUCGCGUCAGGUCAUGAAUCACAAGCAUUGGAAGAUGGAGAGGCUGAAGUUCAGAAUCAAUUACAAGAGGAAGUACGCAAGCGCAAGAAAACAAGUCUGUCAGUUGUCUGGAACAUAUCAAAGGGGCAAAGAAUAGUUGUAAAAUGCAAUGAAAAUAGCCAACCUAUAGGAGAUGAAGGUGCAAUCUUCGGGAAGUUUCUGGGCACGAUAGCUAGAAAUGGAGGGUUUUGCCCACUAAACAUUAAUGAUUGGCGUGAUGUCAAGAAAAAUAGUGGUGUGGAAACAAUAUUGCCGUGUGUACAGACAAAGUUCGUGUAUCCUAGAUCAUGUGAAAAAUGGAUACUCAAGUCAAUUGCAAUAGACUGGAGGAAAUAUAAUUCUAGUUUGAAAGAUGCUUUCUUCAAAUCUGCCAUUGAAAAAAAUCCAAACAUCAAGCGAAAGGCUUUGUAUAAGCUCUGUCCAGAAGAUGUGGACAAGAUCAAUGGCGUGGGCUUGUUAAAUUUUGGAAGUCGAAAAAAGGAAGGGCCCUUGCUGAGAAGAAUAUAAUUAGUCAUUCCCUCGUGAAGAAUUCACAUAAUGCUGGCUCAAGGAGUUAUGUUUGUUGAGCUGAAGACAUGAGACAAGCUGAUCCUGAAAAGAAACAACCACACAGAUCAACGGUUUAUUUAGCAACUCAUAAGAAGAAGGAUGAUGACAAUGCUAGCAAUAAGGAUAGAAACGAGUGCCUGGAUCGAUUGGAUAAUCUAAUAACUGAACGACUAGAGUUGGCACAAAAUUUGAAUGGAAGAGUCGCAUGCGAAGGUGACGCCCUAUAGGAAGUAUUAGGGAAAUAAAAGAUUGGACAAGUGCAUGGCAUGGGUUUGCUUCGAACUCCUAAACAAGUCUACGGCCGGACACCACGUUAUCUAAGGAACAUCAAUAUGACUACAACUAAUGGGUCACCAUACAAAGUUGAACAUGAUCCUUGGGAGGAAAUAGCAAAGACGAAGGAACAAAUAAAAAGGAAAGACCAAAUUAUUGAACAUAUGAAAAACAAAGAAGGCUAUGUGAAUAAUGGACUAGAAGAGGAAAACCUCCAAUCAAAUGUUAAUGGUAUUUCUCGGUUACCAAUACUACAUGGUAAAAGAAAGAGAAUCCAAUGCGACGGACCUGUUGAGGCACACUCGUCUAUGCAACAUGACAUAUGUGACGAUAAUAGUUUAUGAUCUUCGCACGAAAAGGCUGGCGAGCAUGAUGUCAACCAAUUAAAAAUUCAACUAAAUUCAUCAUCGCCACAAGACAUUGUUACUGAUUCUGUGUUAGAGGUGAGGAAAACGAGGGAUCUUACCCACACCCACACCAUGGCACUACAACUGAACACCCACACCCAGCUCCCGCCAAAAAAAGGAGUACUUCUUUCAUCAAGUUAAAGAUCCGACCAUGGUUUAGUGCAUCCAAAUUCCCAACGCAGAUCACAUUAAAAUGUCUCCUUGGCAAAUGGAUUUUGUUACAAAAUUUGCUCAAUCUAUUAUAUGCAAGUAAUGGAUAAAUGUAACCAAGCAUGAGCAAGUGAGUUGACCUUGGGCAUUGGACUUUGAUGUCAGGUUGAUUCCAAAGUAGUUUUAAAGACUUCAACUUAUCCCAACAAGCGAAAUGUUGCAUAUGGUACUAUUCGGAGUACUAAUCCAAGAACUAAGGCUGGUGGUAUUGAGUUGGGUGCUGAAUUUGCCCUUGUGCGCAUAGAUAAACCUAUUCUUGAUAGUGAGGAGUUGCUAAGGGAAGUUUCUGUUUGCAAGACAAUUGGUGAGGCUUUCUCUUUGGGAUACUUAAUUGCGAAGCCUUCAACUUUUGUUCAAGAGAAGGAUAGUUGAGUUGGAGUUAAAUUCUUGGGUGAAGAAGCAAAUACAAUUUGAAGAUUUUAGCUACCAAUAGUAAUAGUUUUACGUUGAUAGAUUGAAAAAUGUAAUAACAUUUAGAAGAUCUUUUUCUUUCGUCGAACUGACGCAAGUGCUAUGCUGUAAUAUUCUCCAUAGUUCUGUUUUCUAUGCUCAAAACGAUAUGAAUGAUAUCUUUAUU